ensembl:lncRNA
GGGGGCUGUACCGGGAUAUAGGUUAAUGAAUAUAGACUAGUGGAUAUAGGUUAAUGAAUAUAGACUAGUGGAGACUGGGGACUGUCCUGGGGGGGCUGUACCGGGAUAUAGAUUAGUGAAUAUAGACUAGGGGAGAUGAGGGGGCUGUCCUGGGGGGCUGUACCGGGAUAUAGGUUAAUGAAUAUAGACUAGGGGAGAUGAGUGGGCUGUCCUGGGGGGCUGUACCGGGAUAUAGGUUAGUGAAUAUAGACUAGUGGAGAUGAGGGGGCUGUCCUGGGGGGCUGUACCGGGAUAUAGGUUAGUGAAUAUAGACUAGUGGAGAUGAGGGGGCUGUCCUGGGGGCUGUUCCGGGAUAUAGGUUAAUGAAUAUAGACUAGUGGAAUAGAGGGGGCUGUCCUGGGGGCUGUACUGGGAUAUAGGUUAAUGAAUAUAGACUAGUGGAUAUAGGUUAAUGAAUAUAGCCUAGUGGAGAUGAGGGGGCUUUCCUGGGGGCUGUACCGGGAUAUAGGUUAAUGAAUAUAGACUAGGGGAGAUGAGGGGGCUGUCCUGGGGGCUGUACCAGGAUAUAGGUUAAUGAAUAUAGACUAAGGGAGAUGAGGGGGCUGUCCUGGGGGGCUGUACCGGGAUAUAGGUUAAUGAAUAUAGACUAGGGGAGAUGAGGGGGCUGUCCUGAGGG